AUAUUGUGUUGAGGACACUUCCUCAACAACCUCUUGUAUCUCUCCCAGGCCUCAUGCAAGUUCUCUGCUUCAGAUUGAGCAAAGUUGGUGAUCUCCUCUCCCUUUCU